rnacentral:rRNA from 1 species
AUUGAACGCUGGCGGCAGGCCUAACACAUGCUAGUCGAGCGAGCGGCGGACGGGUGAGUAAUGUAUGGGGACUGCCCUCUAGAGGGGGAUAACUACUGGAAACGGUAGCUAAUACCGCAUACUCUCGGGUAACCCAUAUGGGAUUAGCUAGUAGGGGAGGUAAUGGCUCACCAACGCCACGAUCCGUAGCUGGUUUGAGAGGACUACCAGCCACACGGGGACUGAGACACGGCACAGACUCCUACGGAGGCAGCAGUGGGGAAUUUUGGACAAUGGGGGAAACCCUGAUACAGCCAUCCCGCGAGGAUGAUGAAGGCCUUCGGGUUGUAAAGUACUUUUGGCAGAGAAGCGGUAUCUGCAGAAUAAGCACCGGGUAACGACGUGCCAGCAGCCGCGGUAAGUC